GUGAGAAAUGAAGGAAAUCUGUGAUGUCUCACACAGUAAACCUUGAAGAUGAAACAAUAGCCCGGGGCAGUUAAGAGCCAGAAGACUGGAAGAGGGGUGUGGUACUCUCCCAACCCUGACAAGCAAGAUGAGCAGGUCUGGAUUAUUUAUUCUUGUUCAUCAUCAGCUGUCUAGACUUCAGGCCAGUGUGAUGCGUGACAACAGAAACACUCUAUCCCGUGCAGAGGAGGCCUGUUUAAACCAACUCCUGAAGGAUGAUGAGAGUCUCCUCAGGCAUCCUACACCGAGACUGUCACUUUAUGUAGAGGAAUCAGCACAUUCCAGCAAUGAAGAAACAAUGCUGAUGAGGAUGGGCAACUUCUGUGAAGGAAGUGUCCCCAGAGUCUAG
rnacentral:lncRNA from 1 species